rnacentral:rRNA from 1 species
GUCCUUUAGGAUUAAAUUUAAGGUCUAACCUGCCCACUGAAUUAUUUAAAUGGCCGCAGUAAUUUGACUGUGCAAAGGUAGCAUAAUCAUUAGUUUUUUAAUUAAAAGCUUGUAUGAAGGGUUGGACGAGGUAAAAUCUGUCUCUAUUUAAUUUAAUUUAGAAUUUAACUUUUAAGUUAAAAGGCUUAAAUGUAAUUAAAAGACGAGAAGACCCUAUAGAUCUUUAUAAUUUAUUUAUUAAAUUUUAUUAAGAAUUUUUAUAAGGUUAUUAAAAAAAUUAUUUUAUUGGGGUAAUAUAAAGAUUAAUUAAAUUCUUUAUUUUUAUUAACAUUGAUUUAUGAAUUUAUGAUCCAAUUUUAUUGAUUAUAAGAUUAAGUUACCUUAGGGAUAACAGCGUAAUUUUUUUAUAGAGUUCUUAUCGAUAAAAAAGUUUGCGACCUCGAUGUUGGAUUAAAGAUUAUUUUAGGCGUAGAAGUUUAAAAAUUUUGGUCUGUUCGACCAUUAAAUCUUUACAUGAUCUGAGUUCAGACCGGCGUAAGCCAGGUCGGUUUCUAUCUUUAAUAAUUUAAAAUAUUUUAGUACGAAAGGACCAAUUAUUUAAUAUAUAAUAUUUAAUUAUUGAUUAUUAUUA